rnacentral:rRNA from 1 species
GUCCACAGCCAUGCCACCCUGAACAAGCCUGAUGUCUGAUCUUGGAAGCUAAGCAGGGUUGGGCCCGGUUAGUACCUGGAUGGGAGACCACCUAGGAAGACCAGGUGCAGUAGGCA